rnacentral:rRNA from 1 species
AGCAGCCGCGGUAAUUCCAGCUCCAAUAGCGUAUAUUAAAGUUGUUGCAGUUAAAAAGCUCGUAGUUGAAUUUCGGGAUCAAUAUGUCGGUCGUGCCUUCGGUACGUACUGGUAUCAUUGGUCUCUCCUUUCUGACGAACCAUGAUGUCAUUAAUUUGGUGUUAUGGGGAGUUAGGACUGUUACUUUGAAAAAAUUAGAGUGUUUAAAGCAGGCUUUAGCUUGAAUACAUUAGCAUGGAAUAAUGAAAUAGGACGUUCGAACCUAUUUUGUUGGUUUCUAGGAUCAACGUAAUGAUUAAUAGGGAUAGUUGGGGGCAUUAGUAUUCAAUUGUCAGAGGUGAAAUUCUUGGAUUUAUUGAAGACUAACUACUGCGAAAGCAUUUGCCAAGGAUGUUUUCAUUAAUCAAGAACGAAAGUUAGGGGAUCGAAGACGAUCAGAUACCGUCGUAGUCUUAACCAUAAACUAUGCCGACUAGGGAUCGGAUGAUGUUAAUUUUUUAAUGUACUCAUUCGGCGCCUU